CAAUGCUGCCUGGUGGAGUAUGACUGAAGGUCGCUGGAUCACACUUGGUUUUGAUCUGAGAUCACAACUCUUUGCUGUCCUGCUCCUAAAUGGUGGAACGAGCUUUCUGAUGACGCCAGGACCACAGAGAGCCUUCACAUCUUAAAUUAGUUUGUUUUCUCAGCAAUAAUUCCACUUGCUGUCUGUAGAGGGAACCUUGUCUUCAAGCCAAUGCUGCUGCCUGGAGUGACGGCCUCAUCGAAACGUGGCAGCUGAUGUUUUUUCAUAAUUCUCAUUCUAGCAAAAUCAUCCGGCGGGCCGUGUGUUUGACGCCCCUGAACUAGAUGAUGUCUACGCCAUCUGUAUUUUGGCGGGGGACACCAAGACCCGGUGGGGAUUUAAUCAGUCGGUGGUUUAAGGUGGCAAUGCC
ensembl:lncRNA